rnacentral:tRNA from 1 species
GCCGAAGUGGCGGAAUUGGCAGACGCACCAGACUCAAAAUCUGGCGAAGUUAAAAACUUCGUGCGAGUUCGACUCUCGCCUUCGGCA